CGGCCCUUUCACCCCUUCCAGGCGGCGGGAAUCCUCCCCAGCCCACCUCCUUCACGCCGAUCCCUGCUUUUGGAGAGUGGGGUGGAUCCCUAAAGUGACCCCCCGCCGAGCGGAACCAGCUGGACCGGCUGUUGAGACUUGGUGACAGUGGAUGAUGGCUGUACUGCACGACCCACAAGCCAUGUAAUGGGAGGGAUACUUUGAAGAUAAACGGAAAGACGAAGAUUACAGGUUGAACCGGCUGGUGUGCCCCAGCCUGUAGAUCUUCAUGGACAGACUGGACGAAGUCCGUGACCUGUUGCCCUUCCUCCGCGGUGAUGCGGGCAUUUCUCCGUUAUGGCAAAGAUGUCAGAACCCGUCAUCCGGGAAGGCAGAGCCUCCCGGGCAUUGUUGGCACCCUGCCCUGAAGAGCCCCCGGUGCCGUAGGCAGAGCCUUGUAGCCUGUUGUGGUUAAUGACUGGGGCCAUCUGACCAGAAGUCCCUCCUCUGUGCCUUGUCUGAGGUCCUCGUCCACCCCUGAUCCCCGGCACCUUCUCUCUCUGGGUUGGGUCAUCUUAAUCGGGGAAACUGAAGCCAUUACUGUCCAAGCCCUGCUUUAUCUUCCCCACCAUGUCGGAGAGCUGGCA